GCAAACUUGGUCAUUUAGAGGAAGUAAAAGUCGUAACAAGGUUUCCGUAGGUGAACCUGCGGAAGGAUCAUUAACAGUGAUGCGGCUCGCCGCGCGGCGGGGGUAAUUCCUCGUCCGCCGGUGGCCCAUUGCCCACCCGUGUCUACCGAACCAUUGUUGCCUUGGCGGGCCGUCGCCUCCGCGCGGCUGCCGGGGGGGUCUCCCCUCUGGCAAGCGCCCGCCGAAGGAUCUUUAGAACCCAAUUGUGAAUCAGUGGUUGUCUGAGCUUUAAGCGUAAUAGUUAAAACUUUCAACAACGGAUCUCUUGGUUCUGGCAUCGAUGAAGAACGCAGC
rnacentral:misc_RNA from 1 species